GAUGAACGCUAGCGGCAGGCCUAAUACAUGCAAGUCGAGGGAGAAUGUUGGAUUCGUCUGACAUGAAACCGGCGCACGGGUGCGUAACACGUAUGCAACCUACCUUUAACUGGGGUAUAGCUCAGAGAAAUCUGACUUAAUCCCCCAUAAGACUACGACAUGGCAUCAUGAUGUAGUUAAAGCUCCGGCGGUUAAGGAUGGGCAUGCGGUACAUUAGCUAGUUGGUGAGGUAAUGGCUCACCAAGGCUACGAUGUAUAGGGGGUCUGAGAGGAUGAUCCCCCACACUGGUACUGAGACACGGACCAGACUCCUACGGGAGGCAGCAGUAGGGAACAUUGGUCAAUGGACGCAAGUCUGAACCAGCCAUGCCGCGUGAAGGAUGAAGGCCCUAUGGGUCGUAAACUUCUUUUAUUAGGGAAGAAAAAACGGGAUGCGUCCUGUACUGACGGUACUUAAUGAAUAAGGAUCGGCUAACUUCGUGCCAGCCGCCGCAGUAA
rnacentral:rRNA from 1 species